GCAGUAGCUCAGUGGUAGAGCUCUCGUCUCAUAUACGGGAAGACCUGGAUUCGAUUUCCUACUGC
rfam:Toxocara canis scaffold283, whole genome shotgun sequence.